ensembl:snoRNA SNORA74 Small nucleolar RNA SNORA74
CCCAGCUAUUGGCAACACCUAGAUUGCCUUGUAGCUAAGCCUGUGUGACAUAGCUGGGAGAAAAGCAACCAACAGCUGGCAGGUGUUCUGGGCCUGGUUAAUACCAAAUU